GACCUGAUAGCGAAGCUGGCAUCGCGUCCGCAUCUUGUGCCAACCCAAAAGUCAGUUCAGCGGAAGUUCCGGGUUCGACUCCUUAGGUCA